rnacentral:rRNA from 1 species
GAUUCCCCUAGUAACGGCGAGUGAAGCGGGAUGAGCUCAAGCUUAAAAUCUCCACAGGAGUUUCCUGUGGCGAAUUGUAGUCUAUAGAGGCGCUGUCAGUGCGUCUGCUCGGGAUAAGUCUCUUGGAAAAGAGCAGCAUGGAGGGUGAUACUCCCGUUCUUGCCUGAGUAGAUUGCGCGUACGACACGUUUUCUUUGAGUCGCGUUGUUUGGGAAUGCAGCGCAAAGUGGGUGGUAAAUUCCAUCUAAAGCUAAAUAUUGGUGCGAGACCGAUAGCGAACAAGUACCGUGAGGGAAAGAUGAAAAGAACUUUGAAAAGAGAGUUAAAGAGUACCUGAAACUGCUGAAAGGGAACCGAAUCGUUUCCAGUGUCUAUAAUCCGUAGCAUAUUUCAUUGGCGAGUGGAUGCGUGCAGUGUUAAUGGCAGUGGCUUGCUGCGCCUUGCAUUGUUCUGCGUUUACUUGCUGGUGCCCUGUGUUGCGGUGAGACGUCAGAGUCAGUUCGUAUGCUGCGGGAAAUGGUCGUCGAGGAGGUAGGUGUUUUGCACUGUUAUAUCUCGGCUGACUAGUCGUCGUGGUUGGGACUGAGGUGCCUACAAUGUGCUUUAACGUCUUGCGGGCGCUCAUUUGAUCAACUGCUCUGAUAGCUUGCUAUGUUUGUGGUUUGGUCGGGUGAUUGUGUUUGUAAGUAACGUUUGCCGUUCGGGACUUUGACGA